rnacentral:rRNA from 1 species
UACGUAGGCAGCGAGCGUUGUUCGGAGUUACUGGGCGUAAAGGGUGUGUAGGCGGUUCUUUAAGUUUGGUGUGAAAUCUCCGGGCUCAACUCGGAGUCUGCAGGAGAAACUGCCGUGCUUGAGUAUGGGAGAGGUGAGUGGAAUUCCUGGUGUAGCGGUGAAAUGCGUAGAUAUCAGGAGGAACACCUGUGGCGAAAGCGGCUCACUGGACCAUUACUGACGCUGAUGCGCGAAAGCUAGGGGAGCAAACAGG